GAGUAGCGGGAGAGAGAGAGCGAAGGUUGGGACGGCGCAAUACCAUCCGAGUAGGGGCAGAUGUAUGUCACACGUAUGUGAGACCUUAGAAGGCUUAGCUUACAUGUCUCUCGUAUGUUUUUUUAUACAAUCCAAGCAAAAACGAGUUAUUACUAUGGCCCAAGUGUUUUGAAAUUCAAAAUGUCCCAUGUACUGUAUAUCUCCCAUAUUUGUUAUGUGUAUUAUUGCUAUGAAUCUGUAGCAAACAUUGCCACUAAGCAAUUGACUUACUCAGCCGCACACUGUUGGCUGUUUUUAUACUGAUGUACGUCAGCAUGUCACCGUUUUUAGAGACAGUAAACCUAGGCUAGAACAGGGACAACGGUGUAAUCAUUAGUCCAAACAGUUGUGCAAGUAAAACGAGAGAUUCUAAUGGACAAAUGCAGGUGUGUCCCCAUUCUUUUUACAGUCCAUGUAGGUCCCUCCCCGUUUCGUUCCAUUUGCUUCCAUUUAAGAAACGUUUUGCAACAGAAUCGGCGUCAUGAAUAUAAUAAAAUACAAAUUAAUACGGCCCAGCUGAAUAUUUAUCUUACUAAGGUGAUGUAGAUGGAAUCAAGUAAUUCACUGUAUUCUUGUUAACAGUUUUUAAUAAACAAGUCUGCUCUAAGUUUGAAAGAUACUGAUCAUAGGAAAUGUGAUGUGUAAUAAGCAGUACCGUAAUUCAAACAGCGUGUAUUAGUUUAUUUAACCACGUCCUUUAACUAUGACGCCAAACCAAUAAGAUCCUUAAACAGAAGUGAACGGUGACCAAUAAUAAUUUACUCAACGUUUUAGUUAUUUAGGCGUUAACACUGGGGAACUCAAAAUGACUUAUUUAACUUCCCAGCAUCACAUAUUUACCCCCAAGUAGUGUUUAAUUCGUGUUGGAGAAAGCAGUUGUUGAUAUAUGUAAUCUAUGUAAUGGUAUUUAGCUAGCUGCUAAGAAUGGCUAACUAACGAUAUGGUUUUUCAAACUCAAAUAGCCUCCAUCAUGGAGGUUCUAGGGGAUACAGCCGUGGCAGAGGUCUGUAAACUCAUAGACGACUAUGCAGUGUUUCGUUUGGAAAUAACUCAAAGCUAGAAAGAAAACGGGGCAUUGCGGAGGAAGCUACAGCUACUGGAACUGAAGGUGGCACGGGAACGCGUCGUCCCAGUAGUGUCAAGAUCCUCGAGCGAUACAGAGGAAUGGCAAGAGUUGAAGGAAAUCUCAUUGGAGGCCACAGGAGCUUUGUGAAGCCAGCAGGACACAAUACAUGGAAUGAUGACCAACCAAUUACAGUUGAUGAGGGGAGUGGAUCCUCAACCCAGCACGUUAUCGUGAUAGAGUCUGCAGAGGCUGCAGGUCCUGGGGUGAAGCUAGAGAGGUCUGAAGUAGAGGAGGACCCACGGCACAGGAAAGAUAUCCAGACUGGAGUCGAGGACCCUACCACCGCCCCAGCGCAGCCCAGGACCUGACGCAGCAUCACGGAGGUCCGUGGAACACUGAACACCGUCCUCAAGUCAAAGACAGACACCAAGACUUUAACUAUAACUCAGUCUCUUACAUACAGGGCCUGACCACAUAUCAGACCCAGGUCUGGGGAGACUGGGCUGUCCUCCUGCUCCCUGCUCAGACUAUUUACCGGAAUUUCACCAGAGGCCUGUUCAUUCCCGUGGGAAUGGAGACACGUUAGAUACUGUUGGUGAUGAUCCUGCUUGUUCUUACACUACAGAGGACCCAGAGGACCCCAACAUGCCCUUGGGUUUAGAGACACAGACAGAUCUGUCUAUAGGGGACUGGAACAAGUACAGUAGUAGUGUAUACUCAGAAGGGUACUUAGAUAAGAAAGGGGAGGGGCUGGUCAUAGAUGAAGUGACUGUGAAAUUGGAGGGUGAUGUUCCUCCCACAUGGAAUGCAGAUCACCUAAGAGAAGGCCACUCUCAGGGCAGAGAUUUCUUAGACUACAGGGAAAGCUUAGAAACAAAUCCAAAUGUUGCGGCCCACUCCCCUUUACACACGCUCAGAGAGCACAACCAUGUGUCCAUGUCGAUGGGGUCUUCUGAUUCACACGGCCAUCAGGUAUUGAACUCAAACAGGGAUAAAACCCAGGCUCGGGGGGGGGGUGGGGGGUGGGGGGAGCAACAUCAGGCAAUAGUAAAGAGAAACGGUUCCUCUGCAUGUUCUGUAACAGAGGCUUCAGCUGCCCCCAGAAGGUGGAGAUCCACCAGAGGGUCCACACAGGAGAGAAACCAUUCAGCUGCAUCCAGUGCCACAUGCGCUUCACUGAGGCUGGCACGCUGAAGCAGCACCAGAGGGUCCACACAGGGGAGAAACCUUACAGCUGCACCCAGUGUGAGAAGAGGUUGUCCCGCCAGGACAAACUGAAGAGGCACCUGAAGGUCCACAUGGGAGAGAGGCCGUUCGCCUGUACGCACUGCGGGAAGAGGUUCUCAGAGGGGAGCUACCUCAGAAUACAUCAGGAAAAAACCCAUUCCACUCUAUAACAUAAAGUAGCCAUUCCAUUUGAUAGCUUCUGACGUUUAGAUCAAAGCCGCAUUAAAGGUAGACUUUCAAUUUCAGCAACAGCUAAGAGCGUUGGAAGUGCAAGGCCCAGACAUUGGAAUAUACAAAAGAUUAGGAACACAUGACAUGGACUGACCAGGUGAAAGCUAUGGUCCCUUAUUGAUGUCAGCUGUUAAAUCCACUUCAAUUAGUGUAGAUGAAGGGGAGGAGACGGGUUAAAGAAGGAUUGUUAAGCCUUGAGACAAUUGAGACAUGGAUUGUGUAUGUGUGUUAUUCAUUGGGUGAAUGGGCAAC